GGCGGAUGUAGCCAAGUGGAUCAAGGCAG
rnacentral:ncRNA from 127 species